CUCUCUCUCUCUCUGCCACUCUCUCUCCUUCUCCCUUUUCCCCUUCUCCCUUUCUUUUCCCCUCUAUAACCCACUAAAUAAACUCUAUAUUCAAACUCUCUCUGGAUGGCCUAUCUGUCUCUCUCACCUGCCAAGGUCUCCUACCCACCAACCCAAAGAGGCCUCAGGAAGGCCAACUGAGGAUACAUGGGUACCAUAAAUUUACUCGGACCACUUUCUGACAUCCUGUGCCUGCUCCAUCACUACAAAUGACAAAAAUCAGAACAACAUCCAUCUGCAAUUCACUUCAUCAAUUGCCAAGUGCUGACCACUGGGAAAAACUGCCCUUCAUCUAAAUUGAAGAUCUCCAGAAGUGGACAGAAUUGCUGCAAUCGACAGCCUAGAUGUCCAGAUGUUGCAUUGGAAGGAAGAAAUACAAACACCCACUCGCAACACACCUUACUCCAUGGAGGGCUUAGCUCCGACAAGAGGUUAUCACACACAGAAAAGUUUUGACUUAUUGACAUGAACAUGGGAUUCUGUGAAUUUCAUACCUAUUCAGUUGAUCCUAAAAUCAUUAACUCUCCUCUGAAACCAUGGAAACCACUUGAGCUCCUGUAAUCCCGACUUCUUGAUCUGAUUUUACAAAACCCUGGUAAUCAUAAAGUGAAGUCACCACAGAACACAUGAAAAGAACCAUAACCACGGGAUCUCCAUGAGUAGGGACAACAGCAGCAAAUCCAAGAGGAGCUUUGGUGAGGAUCCAGUGCUGAUGAUUGUGUACCAGAAGACAGAGCACUUGAACCUGAACAACAACACACUACAGAAUGAACAUUUGUAUGCUAUGCUGGCUGAUAUGGAGGAAAUGAGAAAUGAGUGAGAUUGGAGGGCAUAAUGUGAAAUUCCCAAGGAAUGAGUAAAAAGGUAUGUUAAAUUCUGAAAUGCAAAAGACAUAAGCAAACACAGUAGGGAUAGUCUACAGCAAAUGCAUAGUUAAUACCAGUUUCAUUGCAGAGUCAUGCAAACCAAUUACACUAAAUCAGGAAGAAGACAAGAUUGCCACUCUUUCCAAACCUAUUCAAUACAGAACAUGAAGACUUAGCUAGAGCAAUAAGCAUAUGAAGGAGUUCAAGGGUAUACAAAUAGAAAAGGAAGAAGUCAAAGAAUCUUUAUAGUAUAUAUAAGUGAACCUAAAAACUUCACUGGGGACUCCUUUAGCUAAAAAAGAAUUUCACAAAA